GCCCGCUGACGUCAGUGCUGGGAACCUGAGCCGGGCUUGCGGGCCGAGGGAGGCGCCGGGAGAAAAGGGGAGCCGGGGAGGGGCCGAAGCCUCUGGGCGGAGGAGUGCUGCGUCCAGUUCGCGGCCAGAAUGCCUGGACCUCCUCUCCUCUCCGCCGGUCCUUCCAGAUUUAGGUCACCGGCCACCUCCUCCAAGAAGCCUCCGCUGAUAACACCUCUCUCUCCCACGCGGCCCCUUCUCUGGCUCCCACAUUUUCCAACGCCCACGGUCAGAACCAAUCACUCGGACGCUUUGUCACCUUUUAACCGCUUUGCCCUGUUUGUUAAAUAGGUUUCUCUGGGCUCUUCGGAAAUGUGGACCAAGUCUUGUAUUUACUUAGGCAAUAAUCCCGUCUCCCCCAAACAUGUUCUGCCCUUCCUCUGCACCGAUGCCUUUUCUCUUGCCUGCUAGCAUCCAAGUCUUACCUGUUUGAGGGGGAAGGGUGGGAGCAGUGUUGCAAGACUUUUCUGUCCCCGCAAGUUAUUUUUCUAGUCUCGCCUUCCUUUGAAUGCCAAAAUUUUUGAAUAAGUGGUCUGCUCUCAACUGCACACAUUUUCCUGGCCACUCCCUUUUCCUCCUCCUCCCCUCUUCCCCCAGCCCUCCCUCAUGUCCUUCCUCCUUGUGGAUUGAAGCUUUUGUAAACAUGGGCUCUUGCGGGAAAGAACCCAGCCUCAGUGUCCGAGAUCCACAUGCAGGACCGUCAGGACCUGGUCCGGUCACAGGCACUGGGCAGAUGUCCACUGGAUGGGCAGAGAACUUCGAACCCACAUCCCGGAGUCUGGCAUACAUCUGGCCCCAAGACCAGUUGCUUCUUCAUAUCUAGAUGACUGCAGUAGACUUGUCAAACGCCAUCCCCAAAUGACCCUUCCUGCUGUUGGUAGAGCUGCAUUCCAACAGGUCUGCAUUCACUUGCUCUUUAGCUCAGAUCAUUCUGAGGCACCCUCCACCCCCAUUCAUCUGGACUCCUUUGCCUAAUAUUAAGAUCUUUCGGGAUUUGGCCCCAUCCACCUUUUUAGGUUUCUGCCACUUUGUGCUCUAGGCUCAUCCUCCUUGCUGUUCUCUAAGCAUCAGGCUCUGCAGCCCAGAGCCCCCAGCAUUUUGCCCGUGAUCCCCAGCCCUGCCCUGUAACAUAGCCCCCGUUCCAGGUGUGCCUGAAUGUGCCGGGCUCUGCUGCACUGUGGCUCAUGCCAUUCUGCCCUGGACACCUCGCUGCCUCCUUCUCACCUCUCCCAAACCCCCACACUCCCGAAGGCCCAGUUGAAGCUUGGUCUUCCACUCUCAAAACCCGCACCGACCAUUCUCCCACUACAGAAUUAAUGUUAUCCAUACCAUUUAUGUGGCACUCAUAGUCUGUGGUUUGGUGUUAUUAGGGGUAUUUUUAGAGGUUGACA
rnacentral:lncRNA from 1 species